GGGUCUGUCUGUCUGACUGAGGAAAGCCAGGAGGCUGAGCAAUCCCCCAGAAGAUUUUGUGGCUGGAUGACGUCAUCCAUGGGAGGAACUUUGAGCUUCAUUUGCCCUUACUUUGAGCCUGCCAGGAGGCGUUGUCGACAGGAAGCGCUGAAUGGACUAGCCAACAUGGAUACCUCAAAGGCUGAACUGAAGAUCGCCUUGUUUAGUGAUGUGUGGGUCUCGUUUUUCCCGACCCGCACCUGACCCUAACCCGCCCUCCUUCGCCCUUCCUCAGACGAGCAGGCGCAUGACUGUAAAGCCGGAAGUCAGAAGCUGGCUUUUGAAGGUGGCGGGUGGGGAGAGCAGGAGAAGACCUCAACCCGCAACCGCCCGCCACACCCUUGUGUUAAAAUGAAGGAGUGGAAGCUGGAAAAUGGGUUUUCUUCUUUGUAUUUUAUUUAUAUAUUCUUAGCUCUAAGUGUAUAUUGAAGUAUGUUUUGUUCUUUAACACAGUAUAUGUUUGUUUGUGAGUAUGUGUAUUAUAUGGUCUGGGGCAGGAAAAAAACAUUGUGAUUUUGUCUUAUUAUGUAUGCAUUACUUUGAUAUAUGCAGAACAGAUGACAAAAAAGAAGAAAAAUAUAAAACUGAUAUAUAUAUAGUGCAUUGUAAGUAGCACUUCCAUUAUACUUAA